AUAUAUAUGUAUAUAUGUAUGUGUGCAUGUGUAUAUGUAUAUACACAUAUGUUUAUCAAAUGUUUAAUACAGAAUG
rnacentral:miRNA from 1 species